GGAGGGUGCGAGCGUCAAUCGGAAUUACUGGGCGUAAAGCGAGUGCAGGCGGCUGCGUAAGCCGGAUGUGAAAGCCCUGGGCUUAACCUGGGAAUGGCAUUCGAAACUGCGCAGCUAGAGUCUGGUAGAGGGAAGUGGAAUUCCAGGUGUAGCGGUGAAAUGCGUAGAUAUCUGGAGGAACAUCAGUGGCGAAGGCGGCUUCCUGGACCAAGACUGACGCUCAGGCUCGAAAGCGUGGGUAGCAAACAGGAUUAGAUACCCUGGUAGUCCCACGCCCCUAAACGAUGUCAACUAGACGUUGGGUUCAUUAAAGAACUUAGUGUCGAAGCUAACGCGUUAAGUUGACCCGCCUGGGAGUACGGCCGCAAGGUUG
rnacentral:rRNA from 1 species